CGGGAGACCGAGAGGGCAGGACCAGCUGCUCACAGGAGAGUGUCUUCCUCUUCUUCAAGAUGUACAGAACCAAAGUGGGCUUGAAGGACCGCCAGCAGCUCUACAAGCUGAUCAUUAGCCAGUUGCUCUACGAUGGCUACAUCAGCAUUGCUAAUGGCCUUAUCAAUGAAAUUAAGCCACAGUCUGACUGUGCACCCUCCAAGCAGCUCCUGCAUCUCAUCAAACUAGGAAUGAAAAGUGAUGAUACUGCAGUUCAGUAUGCAAUUGGUCAUUCAGAUACAGUUGCCCCUGGCACAAGGAUUGACCUGGAGUUUGAUGCAGAUGUACAGACAAUGUCCCCAGAGGCUUCCGAGUAUGAAAUGUACUAUGUCACGUCCCAUAAAGGACUAUGUUGUGUGGCUACCUAUAGUAGAGAUGGGCAGUUAAUAGCUACUGGGUCAGCUGAUGCUUCCAUAAAGAUACUUGACCCAGAGAGAAUGUUGGCCAAAAGUACCAUGCCAGCAGAGGUCAUGAUGAAUGAGACUGCACAACAGAAUAUGGAAAACCACCCAGUGAUUCAAACUCUUUAUGACCACGUGGAUGAAGUCAUAUGUCUCGCUCUCCACCCAACAGAACAGAUCCUGGCUUCUGGGUCAAGGGAUUAUACUCUUAAAUUAUUUGAUUAUUCCAAACCAUCCACAGAAAGAGCCUUCAAAUAUAUCCUGGAGGCUGAAAUGCUACGCUCCGUCUCUUUUCAUCCUUCUGGAGACUUUAUACUUGUUGGAACUCAGCAUCCUACUCUUCACCUUUAUGACAUCAACACCUUUCAGUGUUUUGCCUCUUGCAAUCCUCAAGAUCAACACCCUGAUGCAAUAUGUUCCAUGAAUUACAAUCCUGGUGCCAAUAUGUAUGUAACUGAAAGCAAGGACGGCUGCAUCAAAUUAUGGGAUGGUGUUUCAAAUCGAUGCUUCACAACUUUUGAGAAAGCACAUGACGGUGCUAGAGUUUGUUCUGCAAUUUUUUCCAAAAAUUCUAAAUAUAUUCUCUCAAGUGGAAAAGACUCUGUAGCUAAACUUUGGGAAAUAUCAACAGGAAGAACACUGGUCAGAUACAUGGGCGCGGGUCUGAGUGGACGGCAGGUGCAUCGGACACAGGCCGUGUUUAACCACACCAAGGACUAUGUGUUACUGCCUGAUGAAAGGACAAUCAGUCUGUGCUGCUAGGACUCAAGGAUGGCUGAGCGAAGAAACCUGCUCUCCUUGGGGCACAACAACAUCGUGCGCUGCAUCGUGCACUCGCCCACCAACCCUGGAUUCAUGAUGUGCAGCGAUGACUUCAGAGCACGGUUUUGGUACCGGAGGUCAACCAUCGACUAA